GGUGAACUACGAGCGAGUCAAGGAGUACUGCCUCAAAGUCCUGAAGAAAGAAGGCGAGAACUUCAAGGCCCUUUACCGGUCCGGUGUGGCCUUCUACCACCUCGGAGACUAUGACAAAGCACUCUACUACCUGAAAGAAGCAAGGACCCGACAGCCCACAGACACCAACGUGAUUCGAUAUAUCCAGCUGACGGAGAUGAAGCUCAGCAGAUGCUCCCAGAGAGAGAAGGAAGCCAUGUAACCAGAACACCUUUCUAGAGCCGAGCCUGACCCAGGACAUCCAGGCACCCCCGCCCGGUGGAAAGCCCCACCCUGGGUUCUGUUCCUUGCUCCCCACUUCCAACUCCUAUUGCCCCUCAAUUCUUUGUCUACGCCCAGUGUGAAAAGAAGGGGACAUGCAGAUUCAGGAUCUGGUGGGUGGCCCUGACAUCCUCUUUUCAGCAGGGCAGCCCCUACAAGGGACCUGACUUCUGCAGGAAGAGCUGGAGAGGACCCUCUCCAGUUGGGAAAGCCUUUGCAGCUGUGACUCGAGCCAGUGCUUCUGACAAAGGCGGAGCCUUGCAGGUGUAGCACCCCGAAGGCGUCAGGCACGUUGCCCACGGGCUGGCCCCUCCACCCCUUCCUAACAGACAGGAGCAUCUCAAGGCAACUGUGACAAGUCCAGGGAUGAGAAGUGUUGGUGAAGCCAACACAGUCCCGGGAAUUUGUACACUGGAUUUCUGCACCCCUGCUCCCCACCCCCAGGAGCCUCAGGCCCUGCCUCCCUCCCCCACUUGUUGUCUUGGCUUGUGCUCUCUUCUCGCCCCCUCGGGGGUCAGAGACGCUGCCAGGAUUCACAUACCAUUGAAGCCCACUCUCAGUGCCCUCUGAUGACCACGCAUACCAUUCUCCCGUACUCCCACCCAGCAGGCAGCUGGGACAGCAGAAGGGGAGGGUGAAGUGGACCAAGGGCUGACCACGUAGGUGAUGGGGGCGGGAAAGAUGAGUCCUAGGGGAAAGAGCGUUGUACAGACUGGGAGAAUGAACUGUGGACUAAUUAAGUGUAAAUAAAAAUAAAUUAACAGGCAGCAGUUCCUGUCAUUUCUGUUGGAAGCAGCCCACUUCCUCAUUUUUACUCCCUCCCCCAACCCUCAAUUGGAGCCACUUACAGCCAGGCAGGAUGGGGCUUCCCCCAAAGCAAUGGGCCAAUUGUCCAGUGGUGUAUAAUGCUGGCUGCAUCUUUGUGCUUUUAGAGUAGGCUGGGAUUGUGGAGACUGCCCAGGGACUUGACUGAGUGGGAACACGUAAGCCUCUUUUUGAUGAAAUCUGUACUCAAUAUCUAGCACAUAGAAUGCGUUCAACAAAUAUUUGUUGAAUGACUAACCGAUUGCAGACUGGCUCUCCUGCCUUAAACUAAUUUUAUCCCAGCCUAGUCUCCUGUACCUAUGCUCUUUAUGUGAUGCCAUGUUGCUUCAGUCAAAUAAGAAAUAUUUACUGAGGGCUUCUUGUUUGCCUGUCAUUGUGCAAUAUGCCAGGGGACAUAAGGAUGUGGUCCCAGUUGUCGAGGAGAAGGAAGAGUUGAGAAAUACUGAUAUGAGAUUAUUACCAAUGACACCUUUAAUUUAUAUGAUGCUUUAAAAUUUUCGAAGCACUUUCAUGUAUUUUUCGUGUGAUUAGUGAAAGACAAUAUUGUACAAAAUUAAAAUAUAUACAGAUGCAAUAAUGUUAAUAGUAAGCAUUUAUUAAAUGCACUAUCCUC
ensembl:lncRNA